UUAAAAUACCUCAAUUGGUAGAGCAUAAGACUCUUAAGUCUCAUGGUCAUGGAUUCAAGCCCCAUGUUGGGCAAAA
rnacentral:tRNA from 1 species